AUGGCAUGCCCGGCCGACGCAAACUCCAUGGAGUCCAUCAGACCUAUUCCAAGGUUUAUGCUACCUCGCUACCAACUUUCUCUAGCAGAGUUUGACUUGGCCGUGGCGAUCGGCAGGUUUGAGUGGGAAGCUAUUGUCAACAAGGGAUGCAUGCCAAUUCUGCGUGCAAAGAUAUUAUCAACAAAUGGAUGCCUCCGUGUCCUACGGGAAGCUCGAGGAGCUGGUGCCAAUUAUAUGGCAACGACUGAAUGUUGCAAGAAAAACAACGACUGGAUGUUGCAAGAAAAACAAAGACUGGAUGCCGACAUGUCCAUAUAG
rnacentral:rRNA from 1 species